GGCCAUAUUGUUAAGAAAAAAGGCAAACAAUCUCUGAAAGCUCAGUCCAAGCUAAAAUGAAGACGAAUAAAAACAGAAACAAAACAGUGCAAAGCUCCACAACCGACAACAACACAUAAGAAGAAUAACCACCUAAUCUAUUGUUGAACCGUCAUCCAAACCGAUUACAGAAAUCCUUAGCUACCAUCUUCCAUUGGAUAGAUCGAAUAACCAAAAGUUUUCUGGCCUCCGCAGCAGUGGGUAGUGACCGCGUACAGAUUCAAGUAGUGGUCUUGUAUAUUACCUACAAAAAAUUAAUCUGAGUUCAUCUAUUAGAAACCAUAUCAUUAUUGCAGUUUCAUAUAGCCCAAAAAAGUACACAUACCCCUAUCCGAAUAUGUGUCAUUAUAGUUGCGUCAACCCCAUUGAGCUACAUCUUCAUUUAGGUAUUGUUUAGAGUUGUAAUGUUAAAAGCUAUAUGAACUGAACGCCAUAAUAAUGCAGUCAUCGGGCACUCGAGAAAGAGGUGUUUAAUCCUUUCAUCAUGAUCACAAAAUACAACAUCGUCGACUCUCACCCAACUACACUUUGCCAAGUUGUCCUUAAUCAGAAUCACCUCUUUAUGGACAAACCACAUAAAGACUUUGGUUCUUAAGGACACUUUAAUUUUCCAAAUAUGUGGCAAUCUCGAAAUUGGACCAGAGUUGAUUAAAUCAACAUACAUUGAUUUCACUGAAAACUGCCUAUUCCUCAUAAGUUUCGAGUGAAUGGUGUGUAGCUUGUCAGAUUAAUGGACGUCCAUCAACCUCCUCACAAGACGUGGCCAAUCGUUUCAUCGGUUUCCUACUACAGACCUAUGAAACUGAAUAUUUAGAGGUAUCGACUCUAAUACUGUCGCAACAUAUGUGUCCUCGUUGUUGAAGAUUUUGGUUAGUUGGAGGAAGGCUUUGAUCAGAUAGAGUCUCUUUGAGUACAUUGUCUUGGUUGCUUUGUUGUUGUAACAAAAAUUAAUUUAGCUAGUCUAGUUGAUGACACCCUGAACUGAAGCUUCAAAUAGAAGUAUGACCUGUCGCUCGGGUCAGUUUUAUUCUCAGAAGCUCCUACCUUAAAAUAAAAUAAAAUUGCAGGCUACGGCGUUGGUGGAUCUGGAGAGCAGGAGGAGAAGGCGCAGACGUGGGUUACCUGGUAUGGUUUCCGGAUUGGUUUUUGGGGCCGAGGGGAGGCGCGGCGGAGGAAGCCGCCAUUGGAGGCCUGCCCGACGGAGAGGGUCACCGGGGUUGGCUGAAGAGAUCGAUGCGAUGCGUUCAAGAUUACGUAUUCCAAGCUGGGGUGGUUGGAAAUACGGGUUAGUGGUCGGCUCACGGGUCACGCGAAAAUGCGUUUUGUGGCUGGUUCCGUUCAGAGUGCCUCUGUGACGCAGUUCCAAAUUGGCGUGUAAUUGUAAAUCUGC
rnacentral:lncRNA from 1 species